rnacentral:rRNA from 1 species
UUUUAUUUGAGAGUUUGAUCCUGGCUCAGGAUGAACGCUGGCGGCGUGCCUAACACAUGCAAGUUGAGCGAUUUACUUCGGUAAAGAGCGGCGGACGGGUGAGUAACGCGUGGGUAACCUACCCUGUACACACGGAUAACAUACCGAAAGGUAUGCUAAUACGGGAUAAUAUAUUUGAGAGGCAUCUCUUAAAUAUCAAAGGUGAGCCAGUACAGGAUGGACCCGCGUCUGAUUAGCUAGUUGGUAAGGUAACGGCUUACCAAGGCGACGAUCAGUAGCCGACCUGAGAGGGUGAUCGGCCACAUUGGAACUGAGACACGGUCCAAACUCCUACGGGAGGCAGCAGUGGGGAAUAUUGCACAAUGGGCGAAAGCCUGAUGCAGCAACGCCGCGUGAGUGAUGAAGGCCUUCGGGUCGUAAAACUCUGUCCUC